rnacentral:rRNA from 1 species
AGAGUUUGAUCAUGGCUCAGAUUGAACGCUGGCGGCAGGCCUAACACAUGCAAGUCGAACGGUAACACAGAGAGCUUGCUCUUGGGUGACGAGUGGCGGACGGGUGAGUAAUGUCUGGGAAACUGCCCGAUGGAGGGGGAUAACUACUGGAAACGGUAGCUAAUACCGCAUAAUCUCUCAGGAGCAAAGCAGGGGAACUUCGGUCCUUGCGCUAUCGGAUGAACCCAUAUGGGAUUAGCUAGUAGGUGGGGUAAUGGCUCACCUAGGCGACGAUCCCUAGCUGGUCUGAGAGGAUGACCAGCCACACUGGGACUGAGACACGGUCCAGACUCCUACGGGAGGCAGCAGUGGGGAAUAUUGCACAAUGGGCGCAAGCCUGAUGCAGCCAUGCCGCGUGUAUGAAGAAGGCCUUCGGGUUGUAAAGUACUUUCAGCGAGGAGGAAGGCGUUGUGGUUAAUAACCGCAACGAUUGACGUUACUCGCAGAAGAAGCACCGGCUAACUCCGUGCCAGCAGCCGCGGUAAUUC